UGUAUCUUGAUAUUGUUUAAAUUUGUGAAAUUGUAGAUUCAGAUGCCGAGAGGUGGUGUCGUUAUCACCGAAGAUCUUGCUUGAAUAAGAUCAAUGUGCAUGUGUGAUCUGUAACCAAGGGUUCCAAGGAGAUCAAAAUCUGCAGAUGCUUCUGAGAGACGACACAAGAUGACAUGGAAGUUGCUGAAACGGAUUUAACCGAGAUCAAGAAGAGGGUGUCCGUGUGUCCGGAACUGAGUUUUAUGGUGACAUGGAAGUUUUUGUUUUUUUUGUUCCUUAGGUUUCUGUAUAUCAAUUUCUUUUGUUUCUACAGUUCGAAUUUGUAAUAUGUUAUCAAUGAGUUUCAAUUUGUAGGUACUUGAUGGACAUAAUGAGGCAACAAUAGCUAUAUAUACCAAGAAGAAUCUUUUGAACAAUGAUUGAGCUCAUGUGAACAAGAUCAAAGGAGUUUUGAUUGGCUGAGACAAAAAAGACCACGGCCGAAAUCAAAGUAGGGAGACUCUUUUAGAGAAUGGGAGGAGGUUAUGUUGUCGAAAGUGUUGCUAGGAGUGAUGCAGGUUGAGACAAAAGUGCUUUUGUUACAAGUGUUGCAGGUUAUGUUGCAGUUGUUGCAUAAUUUGUACAUAACUUUUGAUUAGUAGUUUAUGUAUUUAGUAUUAAAAUUGAAAACUUAUGUAUGGAUUUUUGUUUAUUAGUGUUAAUAUAAUUAAUUUUAUUUUUA